AUAAAAUGAAAUAGGAACAAUGCAGAGAAGAUUAGCAAGGCCCUUGCACAAGGAUGUCGUGGAAAUUUGCUAAGCAUUCCACAUAUUU
rnacentral:snRNA from 10 species